CGGUUGAUCCUGCCGGACCCCACCGCUAUCGGGGUAGGACUAAGACAUGCUAGUCGUGCGUCUCCCAAGCCAUGUUGGAGACGCGGCUAACCGCUCAGUAACACGUAGCUAACCUGCCCUCGGGACGAGGAUAACCCCGGGAAACUGGGGCUAAUCCUCGAUAGGUGAGAAAGCCUGGAAUGGUUUCUCACCCAAAUGACAAUGGAACAUGCUUCCAUUGUCGCCCGAGGAUGGGGCUGCGUCCGAUCAGGUUGUUGGUGAGGUGACGGCUCACCAAGCCUUUAACCGGUACGGGCCGCGAGAGCGGGAGCCCGGAGAUGGGUACUGAGACAAGGACCCAGGCCCUACGGGGCGCAGCAGUCGCGAAAACUCCGCAAUGCGCGCAAGCGCGACGGGGCUACCCCGAGUGCCGUCCGCUGAGGACGGCUUUUCUCCGGUGUAAUGAGCCGAAGGAAUAAGGGGAGGGCAAGCCUGGUGUCAGCCGCCGCGGUAAUACCAGCUCCCCGAGUGGUGGGGAUGAUUAUUUGGCCUAAAGCGUCCGUAGCCGGCUCUGCAAGUCCCCCGUUAAAUCCAACGAUCUAAUCGUUGGGCUGCGGGGGAUACUGCAGGGCUAGGGGGCGGGAGAAGCCGACGGUACUCCUGGGGUAGGGGUGAAAUCCUAUAAUCCCAGGAGGACCACCAGUGGCGAAGGCUGUCGGCUAGAACGCGCCCGACGGUGAGGGACGAAAGCUGGGGGAGCGAUCCGGAUUAGAUACCCGGGUAGUCCCAGCUGUAAACGAUGCAGGCUAGGUGUUAGCGUGACUACGGGUCACGCUAGUGCCGCAGGGAAGCCGUUAAGCCUGCCGCCUGGGAAGUACGGUCGCAAGACUGAAACUUAAAGGAAUUGGCGGGGGAGCAC
rnacentral:rRNA from 1 species